CGGAGGGGGCGAGCGUUGUCCGAAGUUACUGGGCGUAAAGCGCGCGUAGGCGGGUUGCUAAGUCCGCUGUGAAAGCCCGAGGCUCAACCUCGGAGGGUCGGUGGAUACUGGCAGUCUUGAAGGUGCAAGGGGGAGAUGGAAUUACCGGUGUAGCGGUGAAAUGCGUAGAGAUCGGUAGGAACACCAGUGGCGAAGGCGGUCUCCUGGAGCACUCUUGACGCUGAGGCGCGAAAGCUGGGGGAGCGAACGGGAUUAGAUACCCCGGUAGUCCCAGCCCUAAACGAUGGAUACUAGGUGUCGGGGGUAUCGACCCCCCCGGUGCCGCCGCUAACGCAGUAAGUAUCCCGCCUGGGGAGUACGGCCGCAAGGUUG
rnacentral:rRNA from 1 species